rnacentral:rRNA from 1 species
AGUGAACGCUGGCGGUAGGCCUAACACAUGCAAGUCGAACGGCAGCACAGUAAGAGCUUGCUCUUACGGGUGGCGAGUGGCGGACGGGUGAGGAAUACAUCGGAAUCUACUUUUUCGUGGGGGAUAACGUAGGGAAACUUACGCUAAUACCGCAUACGACCUACGGGUGAAAGCAGGGGAUCUUCGGACCUUGCGCGAUUGAAUGAGCCGAUGUCGGAUUAGCUAGUUGGCGGGGUAAAGGCCCACCAAGGCGACGAUCCGUAGCUGGUCUGAGAGGAUGAUCAACCACACUGGAACUGAGACACGGUCCAGACUCCUACGGGAGGCAGCAGUGGGGAAUAUUGGACAAUGGGCGCAAGCCUGAUCCAGCCAUACCGCGUGGGUGAAGAAGGCCUUCGGGUUGUAAAGCCCUUUUGUUGGGAAAGAAAAGCAGCAGGUUAAUACCCCGCUGUUCUGACAGUACCCAAAGAAUAAGCACCGGCUAACUUCGUG